rnacentral:rRNA from 1 species
GACGAACGCUGGCGGCGUGCUUAACACAUGCAAGUCGAACGGAAAGGCCCUGCUUUUGUGGGGUGCUCGAGUGGCGAACGGGUGAGUAACACGUGAGUAACCUGCCCUUUACUUUGGGAUAACUUCAGGAAACUGGGGCUAAUACCGGAUAUGAGCUCCUGCUGCAUGGUGGGGGUUGGAAAUUUUCGGCGGUUGGGGAUGGACUCGCGGCUUAUCAGCUUGUUGGUGGGGUAGUGGCAUACCAAGGCUUUGACGGGUAGCCGGCCUGAGAGGGUGACCGGCCACAUUGGGACAGAGAUACGGCACAGACUCAUACGGGAGGCAGCAGUGGGGAAUAUUGCACAAUGGGCGGAAGCCUGAUGCAGAAACGCCGCGUGCGGGAUGACGGCCUUCGGGUUGUAAACCGCUUUCGCCUGUGACGACGCGUGAGUGACGGUAAUGGGUAAAGAAGCACCGGCUAACUACGUG